rnacentral:rRNA from 1 species
UACGGGGGGGGCAAGCGUUGUUCGGAAUUACUGGGCGUAAAGGGCUCGUAGGCGGCCAACUAAGUCAGACGUGAAAUCCCUCAGCUUAACUGGGGAACUGCGUCUGAUACUGGAUGGCUUGAGUUCGGGAGAGGGAUGUGGAAUUCCAGGUGUAGCGGUGAAAUGCGUAGAUAUCUGGAGGAACACCGGUGGCGAAGGCGGCAUCCUGGACCGACACUGACGCUGAGGAGCGAAAGCCAGGGGAGCAAACGGG